rnacentral:misc_RNA from 1 species
AAUCCUCUCUCCACCAGUUUGGUGGGGACGGACUUGUCGGUUGUGCGACGCAAGUCGUACUCUGAUCAAAAGCAGUAGGUUUGGAUCAGGCUAGUGGCCUGGGACAUUGUGUGCUAGAGACGUCGCUUCGGCUGACUGUCUUCUCACAAUGAGUCCUUGGCCCUUUGAAAGCUAGCCUGGUUGGCGACCUCACCGGUGGUAGUGCUCACGCGCAAUCACAACCCCCCU